UACCGCUCCGCGCUCUGCGACCAUGGCUGUGCUGGCGGCACUUCUGCGCGGCGGCAGCCGCAGUCCCCUGCUCCGGAGGCUGCUGCAGGAAAUAAGAUACGUGGAACGAAGUUAUGUAUCACAACCCACUUUGAAGGAAGUGGUCAUAGCAAGUGCUGUAAGAACACCCAUUGGAUCCUUCUUAGGCAGCCUUUCUUUGCUGCCAGCCACUAAACUCGGUUCCAUUGCAAUUCAGGGAGCCAUUGAAAAGGCAGGGAUUCCAAAAGAAGAAGUGAAAGAAGCAUACAUGGGUAAUGUUCUACAAGGAGGCACAGGACAAGCCCCUACAAGGCAGGCAGUAUUGGGUGCAGGCUUACCUAUUUCUACUCCAUGCACCACCAUAAACAAAGUUUGUGCUUCAGGAAUGAAAGCCAUCAUGAUGGCCUCUCAAAAUCUCAUGUGUGGACAUCAGGAUGUGAUGGUGGCAGGUGGGAUGGAGAGCAUGUCCAAUGUUCCAUAUGUGAUGAACAGAGGAGCAACGCCCUAUGGUGGGGUAAAGCUUGAAGAUUUGAUCGUGAAAGACGGGCUAACUGAUGUCUACAAUAAAAUUCAUAUGGGCAACUGUGCUGAGAAUACAGCAAAGAAGCUGAAUAUUGGACGAGAUGAACAGGACACUUAUGCUAUUAACUCUUACACCAGAAGUAAAACAGCAUGGGAAGCUGGGAAAUUUGCAGAUGAAGUUAUUCCUGUCACAGUUACAGUAAAAGGUAAACCAGAUGUAGUGGUGAAAGAAGAUGAAGAAUACAAACGUGUUGAUUUUAGCAAAGUUCCAAAGCUGAAGACAGUUUUCCAGAAAGAAAAUGGCACAGUAACAGCUGCCAAUGCCAGUACGCUGAAUGAUGGAGCAGCUGCUGUGGUUCUGAUGACUGCAGAUGCAGCCGAGAGGCUCAACGUUAAACCACUGGCAAGAAUAGUAGCAUUUGCUGAUGCGGCUGUAGAACCUAUUGAUUUCCCAAUUGCUCCUGCAUAUGCCGUACCUAUGGUUCUUAAAGAUGCAGGAUUGAAAAAGGAAGAUAUUGCAAUGUGGGAAGUAAAUGAAGCUUUUAGUCUCGUUGUACUAGCAAACAUUAAAAUGCUGGAGAUUGAUCCCCAAAAAGUGAAUAUCAAUGGAGGAGCUGUUUCUCUGGGGCAUCCAAUUGGGCAAAAACCAUUUCUGAUAGAUGGUAUCAGUACUGAACAGAGACGUGUCACAUCUGUUGUUUCAAACCCAAUAAUGUUUAAUGCUGAAGAAAAAGCGUACAUUUAGACUUUUUCCCCCUUUUCUUCCUCCUUCCUAUUUAUUUCAUUAGCUUUAGGGUACAGUGACUUUUGGUUACAUGGAUGAAUUUACAAUGGUGGAGGCUGGUUUCAGUGCACCUGUCACCCAAGUAGUAUACAUUGUACCCAAUACAUGUUCUGUACUUUAAAAGAUCUGUGACCCUUCCUGAAACAAGUCCUUCAAGUUUUAGAAUAGUAGUAGUUAAUUCAGUAAGAAGUAGUGGCUAGGAAGGUUUUCAAGAAGUUAAACUAGAAUAGAAAUAUUUUUGGUUUGUCAUAAAUUCUGUACUUCAUUAAAGAAAUAAAUGCUUUCUUUAA